UAAGACGUAGGGCGCGAGCGUUGUCCGGAUUUAUUGGGCGUAAAGAGCUCGUAGGCGGCUUGUCGCGUCGACUGUGAAAACCCGCGGCUCAACCGCGGGCCUGCAUUCGAUACGGGCAGGCUAGAGUUCGGUAGGGGAGACUGGAAUUCCUGGUGUAGCGGUGAAAUGCGCAGAUAUCAGGAGGAACACCGAUGGCGAAGGCAGGUCUCUGGGCCGAUACUGACGCUGAGGAGCGAAAGCGUGGGGAGCGAACAGGAUUAGAUACCCUGGUAGUCCACGCUGUAAACGUUGGGCGCUAGGUGUGGGGGACCUCUCCGGUUCUCUGUGCCGCAGCUAACGCAUUAAGCGCCCCGCCUGGGGAGUACGGCCGCAAGGCUA
rnacentral:rRNA from 1 species